rnacentral:rRNA from 1 species
GGGCCCGCACAAGCGGUGGAUUAUGUGGUUUAAUUCGAAGCAACGCGCAGAACCUUACCUAGGCUUGAAAUCCUACGAAUCUGGUGUAAUGACCGGAGUGCCCGCAAGGGAAUGUAGUGACAGGUGCUGCAUGGCUGUCGUCAGCUCGUGUUGUGAAAUGUUGGGUUAAGUCUCGCAACGAGCGCAACCCCUAUCUUUAGUUGCCAGCAUUAAGUUGGGCACUCUAGAGAGACUGCCCGGGUUAACCGGGAGGAAGGUGGGGAUGACGUCAAGUCCUCAUGGCCCUUAUGCCUAGGGCUACACACGUAAUACAAUGGUAUGCACAAAGGGAAGCGACCCAGCGAUGGUGAGCAAAUCUCAAAAAGCAUAUCUCAGUCCGGAUUGGAGUCUGCAACUCGACUCCAUGAAGUUGGAAUCGCUAGUAAUCGU